UCCCUGGUGGCUCAGACAGUAAAGAAUCUGCCUGUAAUGCAGAAGACCAGGGUUCAAUCCCUGAAUUGGGAA
rnacentral:tRNA from 1 species